AGUGAACGCUGGCGGUAGGCCUAACACAUGCAAGUCGAACGGCAGCACAGUAAGAGCUUGCUCUUACGGGUGGCGAGUGGCGGACGGGUGAGGAAUACAUCGGAAUCUACUUUUUCGUGGGGGAUAACGUAGGGAAACUUACGCUAAUACCGCAUACGACCUACGGGUGAAAGCAGGGGAUCUUCGGACCUUGCGCGAUUGAAUAAGCCGAUGUCGGAUUAGCUAGUUGGCGGGGUAAAGGCCCACCAAGGCGACGAUCCGUAGCUGGUCUGAGAGAAUGAUCAGCCACACUGGAACUGAGACACGGUCCAGACUCCUACGGGAGGCAGCAGUGGGGAAUAUUGGACAAUGGGCGCAAGCCUGAUCCAGCCAUACCGCGUGGGUGAAGAAGGCCUUCGGGUUGUAAAGCCCUUUUGUUGGGAAAGAAAAGCAGCAGGUUAAUACCCCGCUGUUCUGACGGUACCCAAAGAAUAAGCACCGGCUAACUUCGUG
rnacentral:rRNA from 1 species